rnacentral:tRNA from 1 species
GAGGAUAUAGCUCAAGUGGUAGAGUGCAUGCUUAGCAUGCAUGAGGUCCUGGGUUCAGUCCCCAGUACCUCCU